AUUCACUCAGAUGGGGGCUACCUGGGCUGAAACUGAGCUGUGCGUGCUGGAACAUGCCUUGACUUGUACCGGCUUGCCAGGCUGAGGAAGGAGAGAGCCUUUGAGCCCUGUGGUCAACAGUUUCACACUGACCUGUGUGAAGUGACCCUCAGUGAGAGAGAAAUCAGACCAGCAGGGUGGCUCUCCACACUAGCAGUUGACUGGACCAGAACAGGACCCUGGAUCUUCAGCUGUACCCAGUCUCCAGCCUCAGUCCUAACACUGUUUUACUGCUCUUGGAAUCGCCAUCAUUCUCUACUACCUAUCAACUACCUGGACCCCAGUGGAGGCUGGUGGGAGGAGCUAUAGGAGGACGGGCUCAUUGUAAUGGCUGGAAUGGAAUAAAUGGAAUGGUAUCAAACAUAUAAAACCUAUGGAAACGACAUGUUUGACUGUGUUUCAUUUAUUCCGUUCCUGGUCAUUACAAUGAGCCCGUCCUCCUCUAGCUUCUCCCUGCCAAACCUCCACUGCCGGACACAGAGGAACCACAAUGCCUAUCAAGGUGGGACCAGACAGACACUGGUCUGCAUUUUAGUUGAAUAUUCCGAGGACAGAGCACCCCUUCAGCGAUCCGAGGACAGGGCACCCCUUCAGCGAUCCGAGGACAGGGCACCCCUUCAGCGAUCCGAGGACAGAGCACCCCUUCAGCGAUCCGAGGACAGAGCACCCCUUCAGCGAUCCGAGGACAGGGCACCCCUUCAGCGAUCCGAGGACAGAGCACCCCUUCAGCGAUCCGAGGACAGGGCACCCCUUCAGCGAUCCGAGGACAGAGCACCCCUUUCAGCGAUCCGAGGACAGGGCACCCCUUCAGCGAUCCGAGGACAGAGCACCCCUUCAGCGAUCCGAGGACAGGGCACCCCUUCACGAAUUCGAAGACGGAGCACCCCUUCAGGGAGUGUUGAGCUCCCUUGCUUAAUGCAAUACCCUCCCAUCCCGGGUCCUCUCUGUUUCUCUUCCUUUGCCACUCCCCCCUCACUCACAGACCAGUGUAGACGGCUCCCCUAUACCCCUACUGUCCUGUCAGCAGAAUCUGUCCCAGUGAGGGGGUGGGGGUGGGGGGUGUAUUGUACUGUAUGAAAUGGGUUCUCUGUCCACCUGCUCAAAAUAACUAACUGCAGUGAGGGAGGGCAGACUGAAACUACAGGCUUUGUCUUUCUCUGUGUGGCAAUACAGUAUGGUCUGGUCCAGCCCACACAACACACACACACGCAUUCUGUACGCAUUCUAGCUCGCUUACACAAACUCAUGAUGCACAAACACACAGACGUCACACACACACAAACCGCACGCACACACACACACACACACAACAAAAUGAAAGCUGAUUCUAACUCAUCUUUUGUUGCAAGAAUAUGAGUCACAUCAAGGCUAUUCUUAGUUGAGGGGGUUGUCUGUAGUUCAUGUUGUGUGAUUGUGCUCUACGUGUUGCCAGCACUGUCAAAGAAAGGUUUUACCCAACGCAUUAGAUUCUGUCUGGUUUCAUGUCUCUAAAUAACCUCCUUUUCAUGAUGCAUCAGUGUUACAUUCAAUUCUUGACUUUAAAUCUAGGGGGGACGGGGGACGGACAUCUUCAUAAAAAAAUUAAAUAAAAAAGGGUAAUUCAUGUAUUAAAUAUAGCCUGACAGAAACUACUGCAGAGGCAAAGGGUUAACCCAUUAAAGUAUUCACUGUCAUCAGAAGGCAGAGGGGACCUAUUGUUUGACCUUUGACCCUCGCAGGAGGACGACUACAACGCCGUUUACCCUGAAAUGGAAAAUCUUUCCCUACUUUUUCAACUGAACAGUUUGGGGAGAGGGCAUACACCGUUGUGGUGUUUGAUGUUUGACCACUUUGUAUUAAAGAAGUGUGUGUGUGUGUGUCGGUUUGCUAAUUUAGACUCCCUGUGGGAAACAUGGCAGCGAGAUACCAAAGAUAUACUGGAUACCAGGAACCUGAAGAUGAAGAUGCUGGAGAAAGAGGCUACUGGGAGUGUUUCUCUGGCAGUGUCUUAGCUGGUUGUUGUGAGGGAGAGAACGAAGCAAUCAGCAAGUAUACUGCCUCAGAAACUCUUCGCACUACGACCCCAGCCCCCC